UACGUAGGGUGCAAGCGUUAAUCGGAAUUACUGGGCGUAAAGCGUGCGCAGGCGGUUUUGUAAGUCUGACGUGAAAUCCCCCGGGCUUAACCUGGGAAUGGCGUUGGAGACUGCAAGGCUGGAAUCUGGCAGAGGGGGGGUAGAAUUCCACGUGUAGCAGUGAAAUGCGUAGAGAUGUGGAGGAACACCGAUGGCGAAGGCAGCCCCCCUGGGCUAAGAUUGACGCUCAUGCACGAAAGCGUGGGGAGCAAACAGG
rnacentral:rRNA from 1 species